rnacentral:lncRNA from 1 species
AACUUACAUUAAAAGAUCGUCCUUCCACUGUGCCUCGAACUGGCGGGUAAAUUGAUUCCGCUUCGAAGGCACACCGCGUCUGCGAUGUGAAACAUCGCUGGAAGAGGCAGCAUCGGUUGACGGCGCAGGUGGUGUAGGUGCCUCUUCUUGAGAGGGACCUAAGGAAACAUCAUCAUCGCUGCUAGACGAACUUGAUUCGACUGGACAUGAACGACCAGCUCUGGUUUUCAUUUUGCGCAUCUAAACAAUUUUAUAUUAAUAAUUGUAUAAUAAAAUUCAAAAGUUAAAAAAAAAU